UUUGCUAUAAGGAAUCAAACUAAGACAAAGGAAAGGCAAGUUUCUGGCCCAGAAGUUCAAUUACAUGAAACUGGGGACCCCAGCAAGAUAGAUGUACAUCAUCAGAAUUUGCAGGCAAGGGACAACUUGAAUUCUCAGAAUUUCCCGUUCAUUGAUUGGGUGACACUAAGUGCAGCUACAGAUAACUUCUCGGCUUCAAAUAAGCUUGGACAAGGUGGUUUUGGUCCUGUUUACAAGGGUCAAUUACUUGAUGGGAGGGAAGUUGCAGUGAAGAGGCUCUCAAGUUGUCCAGAGCAAGGUUUAGAUGAAUUCACCAAUAAAGUUUUAUUAAAAUUUUGAACCUAA